UGUAACACCCGAAGUCGGUGAGGUAACCUUUUGGAGCCAGCCGCCUAAGGUGGGAUAGAUGAUUGGGGUGAAGUCGUAACAAGGUAGCCGUAUCGGAAGGUGCGGCUGGAUCACCUCCUUUCUAAGGAACAUUACGGAGACUACACAAUUUGUUUUUACUUUGUUCAGUUUUGAGAGGUUUACUCUCAAA
rnacentral:rRNA from 1 species